AUUGCUUCUCAGCCUUCUGGCUAAAAUCAAAGUGAAGUAUCUGUUCUUAACAGUUGAAUAUAUACCUGUAAUACAGUAUGUUCUCUAUGUAAGGACAGUGUUAAGCCAAUUAUGGAACCAGGAGUUGGAUAUGACGCUUGGUCCACCCACCAUUGUUGCCAAGUUUUCCCUUUUCUCGCGAGGAAGCCUA